rnacentral:misc_RNA from 1 species
CCCUCCCGUCACGAUACACCCGACCCGCUACGUACAGUACGAGACUUGUACAUCAUGUGUGCCGGCUCAAUCUCCCCAAAAUUCAACAAUUCUGAAGUCUAACGUUUUUGACCCACCCACAUCUUACAGGAGCUCUGGUCGGCUUUUGGUUUUUUAGGCUCGUGAGCUCCAGCGAGAAGGGCAUGAACGCCUUUUUUCGGUCUCUCGGGUUUGCGGUUUAAGCGCCUCGUGGCCCGUUCAGCGCUAAAUCCGCUUCCCGCCCCCGGAAAUUUGCCUUCAACGGACUCUCCUUUUUUUGGUAUUUGUUUUUUAGCCCUCUUGCUGUUGCAAUCUCCAGCUCUAAAUAUAAGACAAGAACCGCGCGCAU